UACGUAGGGUGCAAGCGUUAAUCGGAAUUACUGGGCGUAAAGCGUGCGCAGGCGGUGAUGUAAGACAGGUGUGAAAUCCCCGGGCUCAACCUGGGAAUUGCAUUUGUGACUGCACGGCUAGAGUGUGUCAGAGGGGGGUAGAAUUCCACGUGUAGCAGUGAAAUGCGUAGAGAUGUGGAGGAAUACCGAUGGCGAAGGCAGCCCCCUGGGAUAACACUGACGCUCAUGCACGAAAGCGUGGGGAGCAAACAGG
rnacentral:rRNA from 1 species